rnacentral:lncRNA from 1 species
AACUUACUAGUGUAGUUUGAUAGGAUUUAUGAGUAAAUCUAUUUCAGGUGUUUUAAUGAUCGUUUCAUUGUUAGUGAUUGUUGUCAUGCGCUAGGUCUUGAUGGCCUUUGGCAGUUUGGAAACAGUAGUCUAGAGAGUACAAAAAAGAACUCAUUUCAACCCAAAUGAACACUUACUAGCUCUAUCAGCCUUUAUGAGUGGAUGUGCCUCAGAGUUUCCCUCCGUUUGACCUCCUCCCCCGCCCUCAGUGGACCUCACAGUGACUGGCUGGCCGGGAUGCAGAGGAAGGACCGGGGUAGCAUCCUCAUGGGUGACCAGGGAGAGAUUCCCUGCAGAGCAAGAGCCCCCGCACACUCCCGGCACCUGCUCUCCUUCUGCCAUUCCCACUCCUGCCCCACUUCACCUGCCACGUAUCUCCUAGAGAGCAGUCUGGUUUUAGGCAAACCUUGGGGCUGCUUUGGUUUUAUUUAGGUGUUAAUGCAAGAAAUGAUUGAUUCUUCCUACAUCGAUGAAAGACACACACACAGUCUGUCCAGCUGCUCCCCCGUCAAGGAAGUGUUCUCCACCAGAGAUGCCUGAGACGUUCUUCCCCACCUGUCCCACCGGUGGUCCCUGGCCUCCGUCUCCAGGGAUGCCCAGUGACGGGAGGGGGGCCUUUCAGAGACACCCGAGGCGCACUUGCGAAAGAGCCUGGUCACAGAGCACACGUGUCUGAGUGUUGUACAAGUGACUCGUUCAUCUGGAUUUCCAUCCCUAUAGAACACUUGUGUGCAAUCAUAGCAAGACAGUUGCAGGAGCGGAGGUGAUGUGUGUUACUGGUCCUCCAAGGACCCAUCAUUGGUGCAUUUGGCAUCCUCAGGGGCUCUGUGUCCAGCUCCUGAUGCCCACAGGCUGGGCUGGUCCUCAGGGCAUGGGGACUGUCCUCCCUGCCUGCAGGGCCCCUCCUUGGAAUGCAGCUCCACUGAGGCCCCCUGGGCCAGGGGCUUAGAGAGCUUCCUGUCCAGACCAGGUGUGUAAUUUCUCUUUUCCCUCGCUCCUUCUGCUUUUAGCAAACAAACAAACAAAAGGCACUAUUUUGAGAGCAAAGUGGGACAUGUCAAACCCCGCCAGCAGUUCAGGAAAUUCAAGUGUCUCAUGCGACUCCUUUUUUAAAAAAAUCUUUCUUCUGGAGUCACCGUCUCUCUUGUUAUGGGAAAUGAACAGUGAUAGAUCUAGAACAUUCCUUAUGAUCAGUUUUGCUCUCUCUCCCUCUCUCUGUCCCUUUUUCAUGUACUUGCCUAGUUCUUUGGCUUGUUUUCUUAAUAGUUUUAAAAUUCAGAAAUCCACCGAUGUCUUCAGAUUAUAAAUUACAGAAUUUUAGGACAGAAAAGGGCUUUAGGAAUCACUCACUUGCUGAGCAUUUUGUUGUAGGCUGAUGUCCCUGGCACUUGUUCAAAUAGCUUUUCUCUAUUCUAUUUGUUUUUUGAGGGUUUUGUUUUUUGUUUUUUAAUACAUGUAUGUUUAUUUGUUUGGUCUUUUUAGGGGUGUACCUGAGGCAUAUGGAAGUUCCCAGGCUAGGAGUUGAAUCGAAGCUGUAGCUGCUGGCCUACCCCACAGCCACAGCCAUGCAGGAUCUGAGCCCUGUGUAAGGGGUAAACCAGAAGUCCGAAAUACUAAGACAGAGGUCUUGCCCUAAAGCUCCGUAAGAAAGAUACUAUCUCUAAACAGACCCAUCACUUUCAAAGGACUUCUUUUCACAGGGCUUUUUGGGGGCAGGGGAGCCUUUUACCAAUAUCUUUCAGUCCCCCUAAGGAAUUACAUAAACGCAUUAGGUUCAGGUUACCCAUUCCUUCUGCACCUGAAGCUGCAGGUAAGUUUGCUGUGCAGAUUAAACCUUGUCUCCACACCUGUCACUUCUGGAUCCUGUAAGCUCCAUCCCCAGCGUUCCAGGGCCAGUCACCUCAAAGUGGGCUGUAGCCAAGCUCCCAGUGAACGAUGCUCAGUCAGGGAUAAGACCCCUAGUCCUACAUCGUGGGAGAGGCAUAUUCAGAGGAUUCUCUUUCUUCAAGACAACGCUGCAUACUUACUGACCUUUCAGGGGUGGCCUUGCAGGUAAAUCUCACCUUCUCCAAGAAACCCCAUGGUGAACUCUCAUCACACAUCAGAAUAAAUUUCACACAUCACUUGGGCACUACUUGGCAGAUAUCGCCUCAUAUUGUGGUCUUUUGUGUACAUGUACUGUUUCACUUAAAAGACUGUAGUCACCUCCCAGAGCUGUGAGUGUAUUUAACCACAUGGAAAGACCCCACGGCCCAAGUCAGGCCGUGCGCGUGCACAUUGGAUGCUGGUAAACGCUGGUGAAAUGAAUGGAUGGCUCGCGGUGUCAGGCACUAGAAAGCACUCAAUAAAUAGUUGUAGAAUUGGACCGAAUUGGAAGUCCUGAAAUAUUUCACCGUUCUCUAGCCUUUCUGCUUUAUGCCAUUUACUGUGGGUUUAGAGAGUAAGAUGAAGCUCUGUGUACACACUAAAGAGUCGUAAGCAGUUGCUGGUUAUCUGAAGAGCCCCUGAGCUCUUAGCUAUUUUAUGGCUCUGAUUCUUUUUUUUUUUUUCUCUCUCUCUAAGCAGUGUUUUCUAUUUCUGGCCAUUACAUACUCUCAUAUAAAAAUUUAAUUAGACCCCUUCUUUUCAGUUCAUUAUUACAGCCCUGUCUGUUUGCUCUUUCGACAGAACCUAGUGAACAAGAGCGAUCCCUUUUCUAGCACAAACUUCAUGACUUUGUGCCUGCGAACGAGCGUGCACACAACCCCUCGAUGACCUACCUGCAGCUGGAGGGGAUUGUGGGUUGUGACAUGAGCUGAGUGUUCAGGUAGCCUUGAAAACCUUUGAUUUGGUCACAGUCCCCCUUGGAGCAGCCCCUGGAGCCAAGUUCAAAUGCCGUGCGGUGCUUGAGAUGAAAAACAUACGUGUGUCUUGUUCAUUCAUCAUCAAUGACUGUUUUCUUAACUAUCUUGAGGGUUGAAAUUAGGCAUAGAAUAUGUAAAUUAGGUAUAGAAUAUGCCUUAAGAGAGGCCUUUUCUUUCAAGAGCAGCUGUAACAGAAGGUGUCUAUUCCAGAAGGGUGGGGACCUAUAGUUUUGUCCAUUCUUUACCUGGUACCUGGUCGUUGUUGCAUAAAUCUUUUUUGAGUGAGGAUUCGUGGGCCUAACUAACUGCUAGCUAGUUUUGCUCUUCAUCCUCGAUUAAAGUGUUUUCUGGACUAGAAAGCUCCUGUGACCGUGUCUCUAAGUCUCCAUGAGUGAUGUCUUGCCUGGGGCUUCUCUCCAGCACCCCAAGAUGCUACCAUACCUGUCUUCAAGAACUGCGGCUACAAUGCCUGACUUGGCGGGGCAGGGGCUGGGCCUGGUCCCCAAAAGGCACCCGUAACGCCCAGUACAUCUCACACAGCCUCGGAGGGAAGAGCGUGUACUGGGGAGUCACACACACCUAGCACAAAGCCACCUGCCACUAUCUCUUGACACGGGGCAAGUAGCAUGACGUCUCCUGUUGUCUGUUUACUGAUCUAUAAAGUUGGUCCCAUGAUACCUACCACCCAGAAGGGGUGGCGGGUAGUAAACGAGGGAGCAGCUCCUGAGAUAGCAAAUUAUUCAUUUACAAUUCCUUUUAUAGAUAACAGUGGUUCUCCACCCUCCUCUGUAUUGAGUGGUUUACUUCUUACUCUUGCAUGAAAUGGAAAAGAUGGGAGAAAGGCCCCCAUAACCUUGGUUCCUUGGUGCUUUAGGGCAUCUUUGAUCUGGUGCCGAGUUAGAGGCUAAAGUGUGAGUGCAGGAAGGACUCAUUCUAGGUGGGAGCAGCACUGGCCACUGGAACUUCCUGUGGUCGUGGAAUUGUUCUGGAUCCAUGAUGUCCCACACAGGGCCACUAGUUCCAGUGCGGGAGAUGUGGCCAGUUUGACCGAGCAGCAGAAGUUUUAAUUUCAUUUGAUUCUGAAUGUAAACCCAUGGCCAGUGACUAGCGCCUUGGAUGGUGUGGCUCUAGGGCCUUGCUGGGGCUUGAGGACUAGUGGUUUCUCCGUUUCCUGGGAGCUUGUUGAGAAAUGGAAGCUCUCAGGCAUCACCCUAGACCUGCUGGAUUAGAGUCAGCACAGGUGGUUCACACACACAUUCGGACUUAAGAAACACAGGGCUACCAUCUGAGCUGCCUGGGUAUGUCCACCAACAUCGGUGCAGCUGUGGGGCCAGGGAGGCUGCAAGCGUGGUGUCGGCGGGUUCCUGCGGUCACCUUUGGCUUUUCAGCUGCUCGCCACACUAAUGCAGUUUCCAGGGACCUGUGCAUGGGGUUCUCUGUGCAUCCCUGUGGCUGAGAGAUCAAAGAAGAAGUUACAUGGCUUUUAGCUCAGGAUUAAAUGCUGUUUUGCUUAUUCCUCCUCAUAAACCUCCUUCUCUGUGUUUCUUCCCAAAGGGUUACUCUCCCAUUUAUUGUCCCAUUCAGCCUACUGUAGCUUUAUUUUCCCUACUACUUUGCCUUAAACCGACAAAGAUGUGGCUAUAUAUGUGUUCUCCCUCUCUCUCUCUUUCUGGAUGUUUCAAACCAUAUGAGUUCAGGUUGUGGUUAUCUUUUUUUUUUUUUCUUUUUUUUUUUUUUUCGUCUUUUGUCUUUUUAGGGACACACCCACCACAUAUGGAGGUUCCCACGCUAGGGGUUGAAUUGGACCUAUCGCUCCCAGCCACAGCCACAGCCACCGCCGUGCCAGAUCCUAGCUGCAUCUGCAACCUACACCACCGGAUCCUUAACCCACUGAGCGAGGCCAGGGAUUGAACCCGUAUCCUCAUGGAUCCUUAACCACUGAGCCAUGACAGGAACCCCAGGUUGUGAUUAUCUUAAUGCUUCCAGCACUCUGGCUAGUCAUAAAUAUUUCGACAGGCUACAUAGCAUUUUCUAAGUGAAAUGAGAGAAAUGCCCCCCACCCCUCUGAGAGUAUUAAUAAUUUCUGUUUUGUCUGGAGGCUUAUUUAGCCAAUUGAAGCAACAGAGACUUCACCGACUUCCUGGACAUCCAUUGGUCAGAUCACUUAGGCUCAUGUGGAUGUUACUUGGGUAUUUAGCCAAGUUGGGGAUUUGAUUCUCUGUCUCAUUAUUUUGAAGGAGACUUUUCAUCCUGCCCUCUUUUCAGUCUUGAUCGCUCGCAGCCAUGAUGUGCUGGUGGCUUCUCCACCAGAUGUUGUCUACGUGAUGUCUGUGACAGGUUGCAGAAACGCAUUAAGCCACAUCAGGGGAGCCCAAGGGCACACUGUGGGGAAACUGAGGCGGCGUGCCAGAACAGGUGCCCCAACAAGGAUUCCGUGCCCUUAGAAUGUGUCUGGAACACAGACCCAGGGUUGCAGCCCUGGUAAAUGAUGGAGCCCCAGUUUGAGCCCUGGCAGUUUGCUCCCAGCGUUUGCGCACCUCGCCAUCCCCGGCGCCUGACGUGGCUCCCUGCCAGGGACGGUGCCCUUCCCAGAUCCCCUACGCUUGCUCCUUCUGAGCAUCUGUUACUGUGUCCCGUCUCUCCUCCCCCAGGUUUUUGCUCAGAUGUCCCCUUCCCAAAGGCUCUUUCUCCAGCCGCUCCUUCAAAGCUAGUGCACAUGCGGACCAGGGCUCUGGGUCCUCAAGUGGCCCGAGCGUCCCCUGUCCGACUGUCACACUCCGCAGCCGUGUCUGUCCAUGUCAGUCAUUGAGGACAGGGACCACCUCUGUCUUGCUCCCCUUUGCUCCCCCAGCUUGAGACUGAGUGCCCCACCCGGAGUAGGCACUUGACGGCUGCGUAGUGAAGGACGAACGGGGCCAUUUAAUUCUGUGGGUAGAUCCGCACUGAAUUGUUUGGGAGCCAGUCUCGCUUCUCUAGAAUUCACUGUUUCUUUGGCAGGACGAGGCCUUACUGUUUUCAAGCUGUGAGAUUUAAAGACAAAAUGCUUCCUGCUAAUUAUUAACAGUUGCCCUGGAAGAACAGAGUCAUUAUGGGGCCCUGAACCCUGGCACGCUGCCCCCCCGGCCCAUGGCAAAGAGUGCCAUGGAUUGGGGUGGGAAAGCAGAGGCAGCCACAGCCCUGGCACCCGCCAGCCCUCUGAUUACCCAAAGAGGAUUGGGGGCCGAAAGAGUAGGGAGUGGGUUAAAAGGAUUUGCAAUGAGAUUAUAGGACCCAAAAGCUCCUUGCUUUUGUUCGGGAAAUAAUUUAUCGGUUUUCUUCAAGGCAGCGAGACAAUCCAGUUUAGGGCCUGGAGUGGUAGAUCGACAUCCUGGGGUUCUAAAGAUGCUGAAAAAUCAGUGGAUCUGUAUUUGUACUUGGCAGGAUUCUUGGUUUUUUGUUUGUUUUGUUUUAAAGGAGGAAAAAAGCUCAUUAAAAGUACUCUAGGAGUUCCCGUUGUGGCUCAGAGGGUUAAGAACCUGAUAUAGUGUCCAUGAGGAAGCAGGUUCCAUCCCUGGCCUCACUCAGUGAGUUAAGGACCCAGCGUUGCUGCAAGCUGCGGCAUCGGUUGCAGAUGUGGCUCAGGUCUGGUGUUGCCAUGGCUGGGGUGUAGACUGCAGCUGCAGCUCCAAUUCGCCAGUUUUGACUCCUAGCCCAGGAACUUCUAUAUGCUGUAGGUGCAGCCAU